UGAGGGGGGCUGCUCCUAGUACGAGAGGACCGGAGUGGACGCAUCACUGGUGUUCAGGUUGUCAUGCCAAUGGCACUGCCCGGUAGCUAAAUGCGGAAGAGAUAAGUGCUGAAAGCAUCUAAGCACGAAACUUGCCCCGAGAUGAGUUCUCCCUGACUCCUUGAGAGUCCUGAAGGAACGUUGAAGACGACGACGUUGAUAGGCCGGGUGUGUAAGCGCAGCGAUGCGUUGAGCUAACCGGUACUAAUGAACCGUGAGGCUUAACCUUACAACGCCGAAG
rnacentral:rRNA from 1 species